rnacentral:lncRNA from 1 species
UGAAGGGGCCCCAGAAAAUCGAACCCAAAUCUGCGGAAGGGCAACACCUUGUGGCUCUUCACUCGACCAUGCAUCAAACUCCAACACGCAACUGGUGCUUGGCACUCUGCACAUACCAAACUUAAGCAAACGUGCGAGGUCCUCCUUAGUGGGAAAGACAACUUUGAACACAUUCUCAGCAAUCAGCACGGGCUCCCAC